rnacentral:rRNA from 1 species
AUUGAACGCUGGCGGAAUGCUUUACACAUGCAAGUCGAGCGGCAGCGCGGGGCAACCUGGCGGCGAGCGGCGAACGGGUGAGUAACACAUCGGAACGUGCCCAGACGUGGGGGAUAGCCGGCGAAAGCCGGAUUAAUACCGCAUACGAUCUAAGGAUGAAAGCGGGGGAGUCGCAAGACCUCGCGCGUUUGGAGCGGCCGAUGGCAGAUUAGGUAGUUGGUGGGGUAAAGGCUUACCAAGCCUGCGAUCUGUAGCUGGUCUGAGAGGAUGAUCAGCCACACUGGGACUGAGACACGGCCCAGACUCCUACGGGAGGCAGCAGUGGGGAAUUUUGGACAAUGGGCGAAAGCCUGAUCCAGCCAUUCCGCGUGCAGGACGAAGGCCUUCGGUUGUAAACGUAGCUUUGUUACGGAACGAAAAGGUACUUCUCUAAUACAGAGGGCCCGAUGACGGUACCGUAACGAAUAAGACACCGGCUAACUACGUGCCAGCAGCCGCGG